rnacentral:misc_RNA from 1 species
UCUCCGUAGGUGAACCUGCGGAGGGAUCAUUACUGAGUGAGGGCCUUCGGGCUCGACCUCAACCCUUUGUGAACACAACUUGUUGCUUCGGGGGCGACCCUGCCGUUCGGCGCGGCGCCCCCGGAGGCUCAUCAAACACUGCAUCGUUGCGUCGGAGUUUAACACAAAUUAAACAAAACUUUCAACAACGGAUCUCUUGGUUCUGGCAUCGAUGAAGAACGCAGC